CUAAAAAUCUUGUCGUGUCUACGAGUAUAUAUAAUAUUAAACUUGGGUUUUGUCAGCGUAUAAGUGACUCAUACUCAUAUGCUCCCGCAAAGUGUUCGAAUCAGUAAAAACCUUUUUUAGGAUGUGUGUACUGUACCGUUAUUACAUUUCCUGUUGUGAUUUUCUGAUGAUACAAUAAUAAUAUGUACUUAUGUAUAUUGAUUAAAAUGUUGAUCAUGACUGCUUAAAACAAAUUAUUAAAAUGAGUGUCAAUAACAUACUUGGAACUGUAUUGGUUAUUGACUAGUUGCUGCUGUUGCUAUGCGGUGUGUCAGUGAAUACAGACAAUUCUGUGAAAUCAGAGCUUUGUUCUUUUUUAUUCCAACGAUUGGGUAUUUGUCUUUAAGAUAGACGUCGCCUUAUCUACUACAAGCUAGGUGCUUGGCACAGUUUGAUAUUUUUAAUGGGACAUGCAUAGUUUUGCAAUGAUUUAGAACAUUAAGCUUAUUUUCGCAUAGUUCAAAGAGCGCCAAAUAUUAAUCUAUAAAUAAAGUAAACCAUGUGACCCAAAUAAAACAAUUGAAAACAAAAUGCCCAUGUGUUUACUUCAUGGUUUCUCUACGUUUUAAGUCUGGUCUAUAUACAAUA